GAAUUUGUUACUACCGAUUUUCUAGGCUCCUUGCCUCACGAGGCUUAUGCACUGAAAUGAGUUGAUUUUUAGACAUAUCCACACAAUUCUUCAGAGGACUCAGAGCUGUUGGCUCCUUGCUUUGCAUGUACAUUCGUGCAUAUCAUCACACGCGGGCUGUCUUGUUCCCACAUGUGCCAUUAAUUGGCAAGAACGCAGCUCAUAGUUGGCUGAUUAAAAUAGAGGCUGUGCAAAGGAGCAGGAUUAGAGACAGCCCAGGGUUUCCUUUUCAAGAAGGUUUAAAACAUUUUUUUUCUCACUAACUUCCUUCCUGUUCUAACUGCCAGCCUCAGAAGCCAGAGUUGAGAGACAGCGGCACACGACAGAGACGUGAAGAGCUGAAUAAAGACAGCUGAAGAGUCAGAGUGAAGUGCCUGAAAGUCAAACUGUCUACGCUCAUUCAUUCUGCAUCUUGCGUAGCCGUCUUCAUGGACCGUUACAUAACCUGAGCUUCACUGUCCUGACCUGUGAGAGAAAGAUGCUGCCCGCAGAACUCAAUGAAAUAAUCCUCAAAAAAAUAAGUCAUGCUGUAUGUGAUGACUCCUGAAAUUAUUAUCAAGAAUAAAAUUGUUCUUUAGAUGGUGGGAUUGGUUUAAGACAAUCUGUAGAAUUUUCCUAAAAUUCCUAUUCUCACUUCAACAACCACCUAUGAAAUGGAAGGACAAAAAAAGAGAAAUUCGAUCUUGGCAGUUAAAUAUAUACACCUAUUGUUUGGGAAAUCAUGAUCAAACCACACACCGACUAUGUCUGGGUGUUUGGGAGAAUCUGUUUCCCAGAGAUCACUUGUGAAAUUAAAAAUUGCAAUACAACACUUAAUAAUAUUCCACUGCAUGCUGAACUUUCAUUGAAAGAAUAGAUUGAAGCUGUUCCUGCUACAAAAAAAAGUAGACUAUGUGAGGUAGAUAUGUUAAUUUGCCUAAUUACGGUAACCUUUUCACUAUCCAUAUGUCUAUCUACAUAACUAUCAAAAAUCAUGUUUUAUACUUUAAAUCUGCCAAAUAAAUUUUUUGAAAAACUGAUUAUAGAACUAUUGAUUUAUAUAUUCUGGAUAUUAUUGCUAACUAUAUGCAUAGCAAAUACUUCCUUCUUGGAGUCUUGGACGUUACUCUUUCCAUUCAUCACUUGAGUAGGAAAUUUUAAAUUUUUUGUGUGAUUGGAAUAUUCAAUACUUUCUUCUGUCCUGGUUCCUGCCUUUGUAAAACAUAACAGUGGCUAUCUCACAAUAUUGUGAGUAUUCAAUGAAAUAAUAUAUAUGAAGCAUUUACCACACAAUUACACAAUUGCUAAGUUUUGGGCUCAGGAUAAGAGCUCAGUAACCUUUUGCUGUGGUUAUAAUUAUAUCCUUAGUUAUGCAAAGGGCUGCUAGGUAAAAGAAAAAUAAGUAUAUCUGGGAAAAAGUAAAAUUAAAAAUGCAGCAUCUUUUGGGAAUUCAUAUAAGUUUUAAAAUUAUAAAACAGACAGAUAUUCUCUUAGAUACGCUAGUGCGAUAAGGUAACUGAAUUUCUAGUAAUUUAGCUGACACAUGACUGCAGGUCAGGAAAAAUCUGCAGAUAGAGGGCUUAGAAAUUUAAAACAUCUAGAGAUGGUGUGUUGUACUCUCCCUCUCCCAAGAUGAGGAGAAUAUGAUCCACGGUGCUUCAAACAUUUGCUCCAGGAGGUCACAAUCAGAGGGCCAGCAGCAAAACCCAGGAAUGACAGAGCCAGUUUGGGAAAGAAAGAAUCAUCCAAAAUCAAACCGAUUGACCAUGGGAUUCUCUGAAGGGCUUCUCCCUGUGCAUCUUGCCCCUCUGCCACCCAUUCUGGUCAUGAUCCUGGAGACAGAUGUCACCUGACAUUUGCUGCUUCUAUACAUCAAACAGUUGGGUGGACGGAUAUGAUCCGGAGCUUGAGGCUCAGUGGGUCACUGUCCCGGUUGGGCCCCAUCUGGACAAGCUUCCCUUUAACCCUCACCUCUGCUUCAUGUUUCCAGUAGGUUAUAGUUUGAAGAUCAUGUUCCUAAUCUAGAGAUCUUGAAUUCAAAUAAAGUCUGUGAAGGACUUCAGAG
ensembl:lncRNA